rnacentral:lncRNA from 1 species
UAUGUAGUUAAGAGUGACCUUGAACUUCGGAUGCUCCUGCAGCUGCAGCUGCACCUGCCUACUAGGACUACAGGUGUGACAGUCAUGACCAACCUAUUGUGGUACUCGGAAUGGAACCUAGGGCCUCAUGGUGCUAGGGCCCCAGCUAACCAGACUGACUAAUGAGUCAUCUUCCCGUCAUCGUGAGAGCCACUGUGGUACACCAGCAUCUCCAAGACCGUUUAGGAAGCUGAUUCAAGGUGAAGCAGCAAUGGUAGAGGUCACAACUGAUCAGCUAUCGUGCAGUGAGCCACCGGAACAACAAUGGCCAGGAGAGGACACAGACAGAGACGUUUUCUUCUACUGAGCUCCAUAUAUGUGUGUAUAUAUGUAAUAUACCCAUGCCAGUAAGAACAAACUAGUGUUAAAACACAAAAAACAAAAGUAAUAGACUCAUAUGUUUUAAUUACAUUAAUAAUGUUGAAAAUCGGAUCCCACAUACCUUUGCCAAGGCAGUAAUGAUUACAAUUUCUAUUUUUUU